ACAGUCCUUCAGGCAGCAGUGCUUCUUAUCUUCUUUUUCCUCUGCUCAACUUCUGCCAUGCUCAGGUAUCUCAAAUACACGAUGGGUUGGCUGUUGCAGCUGCUUGGCUGGCCUUUCAUCACCUGUUUUUUUAGGAUUGAUGGGUUGUGGAGAGUUUUUGUUUGGCUGUGGCUCAACUUUUGUUGUCAAUGCAGAAUCAAGCCCUUUUUCCCUGCUUUGUUUCUGCUAUGCUCAGCUCUGUCACGACUGAGUUGGCUGUUGCAGCUUUGGGAUCCUUGGGCUGCAUUUCUGCUGGGUCUAUUGCAGGUUGUCUUGGCUUCUCUGCUGGUCUUUUUGUUUGCGUCAAGUCUGGCUUGGCUCAACCUCUUUAUAGAAAGAGUUGCCCUUCGGCUGUGGCUCAGCUUUUGACGUCAAUGCAGAAUCAUAAAUGAGUGGGGCAGCAACAUCAUUACACACUUAUUUGCCCUCACCUUGGGUCUCUCUCCAGCAUUGGAAGAGCUGCUACUGUUUUCUUGGGGAUUAGCAUUUAGUUCGUUUGAGACAAUCCUUUCCACUCCCAGCAUACGUUUAUGCUUUUGUCAGACUAUGUUCUCCUUUUAUUCCAACUAGAAUUCGGUUAUUUCCCUAUUCAGUUUUAGUUUGCAGGCAAGACUUCAUCUUCUGGUUUGUAAUGUCGCUAUCUCAGUUCAUGUCAUGCCCCUUUGCUGGGGGUGUUUUUGGUUUUUCCUUUUUUAGUGAUGGCAUAUCAGUUCUUGAGAGUCUUUGUCGCAAGGACUUUUCUUGAGGCUGGGUCUUGAAUUUCCAAUUAGCUCUUCAUAUUUUGUUUUGUUUUGCUUUCAAGUCUGGGCAUCACUCUUUGGCCAUUUGUUGCUACGCCAUCAGUGGAGUCUUCUUCUUUUUCCUCCAUUGCUUCUUCUCUUAUCCUUGGGUUUCCCAUGCUUUCACAUAUUUUUGUGGGUUGGAGUAGAUAGAUUCAUUUUCAUUUUGUCUUGGUUUUCUUUCAUGCCUCUCUCUCGGGUUUUUUUAGCUCUCUGUUCUGUUCAUAUGGUUUUCUACCAUUGGCGCUCAUUUUUCUAGAGCUCCUCUUCCUUUAUUUUGAUUAACUUGCUUUUGUUUUUUAUUUUUUUUCUGUUGAUUUCAUUGAGUUUAUCUUCCUGAUUUCUUAGUUUCUUUUCUUUUAAUGUAGGUUUGUGUUGUGUUAUCACUAUCUCUACAGAAUCUUUUUUCGGUUGGUUUGCUGGAGCUUUUCAUUCCUUAGAAGAUGUUCUUCUUUCCCAGCUUGCCUACCAUGUGCUUGCUUUUGGGUCUGGAAGGAUGGCUGAGCUUUGUGUGGAUUGGUGAAGCUGCUUUCUCCCUGGAUCAUUGUCUGACUCAGCUUCUUCUCUAAAUUGAGCUUUGUGUGCAACAUUACUCAGCUUCUUUCUAUGAGUGGGACAACAACAUCAUUAUGUUUUUAAUGCAUAAACCCACUUGGCCUCA